UGGGGAAUAUUGGGCAAUGGGGGAAACCCUGACCCAGCAACGCCGCGUGAAGGAAGAAGGCCUUCGGGUUGUAAACUUCUUUUACCAGGGACGAAGGACGUGACGGUACCUGGAGAAAAAGACAACGGCUAACUACGUGCCAGCAGCCGCGGUAAUACGUAGGUUGCAAGCGUUGUCCGGAUUUACUGGGUGUAAAGGGCGUGUAGGCGGAACUGCAAGUCAGAUGUGAAAUCCCGGGGGCUCGACCCCGGAACUGCAUUUGAAACUGAGGGUCUUGAGUAUCGGAGAGGUAAUCGGAAUUCCUAGUGUAGCGGUGAAAUGCGUAGAUAUUAGGAAGAGCACCAGUGGCGAAGGCGGAUUACUGGACGACAACUGACGGUGAGGCGCGAAAGCGUGGGGAGCAAACAGGAUUAGAUACCCUGGUAGU
rnacentral:rRNA from 1 species